rnacentral:rRNA from 1 species
UACGGAGGAUGCAAGUGUUAUCCGGAAUCACUGGGCGUAAAGCGUCUGUAGGUGGUUUAAUAAGUCAACUGUUAAAUCUUGAGGCUCAACCUCAAAAUCGCAGUCGAAACUAUUAGGCUAGAGUAUAGUAGGGGUAAAGGGAAUUUCCAGUGGAGCGGUGAAAUGCGUAGAGAUUGGAAAGAACACCGAUGGCGAAGGCAUUUUACUGGGCUAUUACUAACACUCAGAGACGAAAGCUAGGGUAGCAAAUGGG